UUCGCAAUGCCCGAAAGGGUGACGAAGCGACGCCGCGUGUGGGAAGAAGGCCUUCGGGUUGUAAACCACUGUCGGGAGUUAGGAAAUGUAAGGGUGCUAAUAGUAUCCUUACUUGACUAAGGCUCCGGAGGAAGCCACGGCUAACUCUGUGCCAGCAGCCGCGGUAAUACAGAGGCGGCAAGCGUUGUUCGGAAUUAUUGGGCGUAAAGAGCACGUAGGCGGCUAUGUAAGUCGGUUGUGAAAGCCUUCCGCUCAACGGGAGAACAGCAUCCGAUACUGCAUGGCUUGAGUGCGGGAGGGGAGAGUGGAACUUCUGGUGGAGCGGUGAAAUGCGUAGAUAUCAGAAGGAACGCCGGCGGCGAAAGCGGCUCUCUGGCCCAUAACUGACGCUGAGUGUGCGAAAGCUAGGGGAGCAAACGGGAUUAGAUACCCCGGUAGUCCUAGCCGUAAACGAUGGGCACUAAGUAGAG
rnacentral:rRNA from 1 species